CCCACUCUGGCUGCUAAUAUUAGGGUGCCUUAAGCAGGAAGAUCACAAUACAGAAAAGGAUUGCAGAGUUAAUCUUCUCAAAACAUCAACUGAAAAUUUUAUGCCACUAGCAUGCAUCCGCUAAUCCAAUUUGAAACCAAUACGAUGAAUUUUAAAAGCUUAAGACAGCACAUCCAGUGGAGGACGAAAAAGCUAAUCCAACAUUUAAAAUUCAUCCCAGAAAC
rnacentral:misc_RNA from 1 species